rnacentral:rRNA from 1 species
CUGCUGCCUUCCGUAGGAGUUUGGGCCGUGUCUCAGUCCCAAUGUGGCCGUUCACCCUCUCAGGCCGGCUACUGAUCGUCGCCUUGGUGGGCCGUUACCCCGCCAACCAGCUAAUCAGACGCGGGUCCAUCUUGCACCACCGGAGUUUUUCACACUGAGCCAUGCGGCUCUGUGCGCUUAUGCGGUAUUAGCACCUAUUUCUAAGUGUUAUCCCCCGGUGCAAGGCAGGUUCCCCACGCGUUACUCACCCGUCCGCCAA